CCUACGGGUGGCAGCAGUGGGGAAUAUUGGACAAUGGGGGGAACCCUGAUCCAGCCAUGCCGCGUGUGUGAAGAAGGCCCUCGGGUUGUAAAGCACUUUCAGGGAGGAAGAACGCCUGGUGGUUAAUACCCAUCAGGAAAGACAUCACUCACAGAAGAAGCACCGGCUAACUCCGUGCCAGCAGCCGCGGUAAUACGGAGGGUGCGAGCGUUAAUCGGAAUUACUGGGCGUAAAGCGCGCGUAGGUGGCUUGAUAAGCCGGUUGUGAAAGCCCCGGGCUCAACCUGGGAACGGCAUCCGGAACUGUCAAGCUAGAGUGCAGGAGAGGAAGGUAGAAUUCCCGGUGUAGCGGUGAAAUGCGUAGAGAUCGGGAGGAAUACCAGUGGCGAAGGCGGCCUUCUGGACUGACACUGACACUGAGGUGCGAAAGCGUGGGUAGCAAACAGGAUUAGAUACCCUGGUAGUC
rnacentral:rRNA from 1 species